rnacentral:rRNA from 1 species
CUUGGUCAUUUAGAGGAAGUAAAAGUCGUAACAAGGUUUCCGUAGGUGAACCUGCGGAAGGAUCAUUAAUGUGUUUGAGCUUCGGCUCUUCAUCCAGACGCUGUGCGCCUUCGGGCUGCACGCCGACGGAGCAUAUAUCCACCCCUGUGCACACACACGGUGGCGAGCUGGAUAACGGCUCGCCGCUGAUUUUUACACACGUCUAAAAGUCUUGUAUGUUUUAUUGAGAUACAAAAAACAACUUUCAGCAACGGAUCUCUUGGCUCUCGCAUCGAUGAAGAACGCAGCGAAAUGCGAUAAGUAAUGUGAAUUGCAGAAUUCAGUGAAUCAUCGAAUCUUUGAGCGCACCUUGCGCCACGUGGUAUUCCACGGGGCACGCCUGUUUGAGUGUCACGUAAACCCAUCGCGUCUCGGAUUGUCAUGAUCUGAGGGGCGGAUUUGGACGCUGCCGUAGUGGCUCGUCUCGAAAUGCAUUAGCCAGUCCGAGGACGCGCGCCGUUGGUGUGAUAAUUCACUUUGCGCCGCUGGUCGUGUCUGACGAAGGCUCAUAGUCGCCUGCAAGGGCAACCUUUAAUGCUCUGGCCUCAAAUCAGGUGGGACUACCCGCUGAACUUAAGCAUAUCAAUAAGCGGAGGA